CCUACGGGAGGCAGCAGUAGGGAAUCUUCCGCAAUGGACGCAAGUCUGACGGAGCAACGCCGCGUGAGUGACGAAGGUUUUCGGAUCGUAAAACUCUGUUGUGAGGGAAGAACACGUACCAACUAACUAUUGGUACCUUGACGGUACCUCACCAGAAAGCCACGGCUAACUACGUGCCAGCAGCCGCGGUAAU
rnacentral:rRNA from 1 species